rnacentral:rRNA from 1 species
AUUCCAGCUCCAAUAGCGUAUAUUAAAGUUGUUGCAGUUAAAAAGCUCGUAGUUGAACUUCAGCCUUGGUCGGGCGGUCUGCCUCACGGUAUGUACUGUCUGACUGGGGCUUACCUCUUAGUGAGCCCGUAUGCCCUUUACUGGGUGUGCGGGGGAACCAGGACUUUUACUUUGAGAAAAUUAGAGUGUUCAAAGCAGGCAUUUGCCCGAAUACAUUAGCAUGGAAUAAUAGAAUAGGACGUGCGGUUCUAUUUUGUUGGUUUCUAGAGUCGCCGUAAUGAUUAAUAGGGAUAGUUGGGGGCAUUAGUAUUGAGUUGCUAGAGGUGAAAUUCUUGGAUUUACUCAAGACUAACUACUGCGAAAGCAUUUGCCAAGGAUGUUUUCAUCG